UGACCAAGCAGCAUAUCCCUAUCCCA
rnacentral:piRNA from 1 species